rnacentral:rRNA from 1 species
UGAUGCAGCGACGCCGCGUGAGGGAUGACGGCCUUCGGGUUGUAAACCUCUUUCAGUAGGGAAGAAGCGAAAGUGACGGUACCUGCAGAAGAAGCGCCGGCUAACUACGUGCCAGCAGCCGCGGUAAUACGUAGGGCGCAAGCGUUAUCCGGAAUUAUUGGGCGUAAAGAGCUCGUAGGCGGUUUGUCGCGUCUGCCGUGAAAGUCCGGGGCUCAACUCCGGAUCUGCGGUGGGUACGGGCAGACUAGAGUGAUGUAGGGGAGACUGGAAUUCCUGGUGUAGCGGUGAAAUGCGCAGAUAUCAGGAGGAACACCGAUGGCGAAGGCAGGUCUCUGGGCAUUAACUGACGCUGAGGAGCGAAAGCAUGGGGAGCGAACAGGAUUAGAUACCCUGGUAGUCCAUGCCGUAAACGUUGGGCACUAGGUGUGGGGGACAUUCCACGUUUUCCGCGCCGUAGCUAACGCAUUAAGUGCCCCGCCUGGGGAGUACGGCCGCAAGGCUAAAACUCAAAGGAAUUGACGGGGGCCCGCACAAGCGGCGGAGCAUGCGGAUUAAUUCGAUGCAACGCGAAGAACCUUACCAAGGCUUGACAUGGACCGGACCGCUGCAGAGAUGUGGUUUCCCCUUUGGGGCUGGUUCACAGGUGGUGCAUGGUUGUCGUCAGCUCGUGUCGUGAGAUGUUGGGUUAAGUCCCGCAACGAGCGCAACCCUCGUUCUAUGUUGCCAGCGCGUUAUGGCGGGGACUCAUAGGAGACUGCCGGGGUCAACUCGGAGGAAGGUGGGGACGACGUCAAAUCAUCAUGCCCCUUAUGUCUUGGGCUUCACGCAUGCUACAAUGGCCGGUACAAAGGGUUGCGAUACUGUGAGGUGGAGCUAAUCCCAAAAAGCCGGUCUCAGUUCGGAUUGGGGUCUGCAACUCGACCCCAUGAAGUCGGAGUCGCUAGUAAUCGCAGAUCAGCAACGCUGCGGUGAAUACGUUCCCGGGCCUUGUACACACCGCCCGUCAAGUCACGAAAGUUGGUAACACCCGAAGCCGGUGGCCUAACCCCUUGUGGGA